rnacentral:rRNA from 1 species
UACGUAGGCAGCAAGCGUUGUUCGGAGUUACUGGGCGUAAAGGGUGUGUAGGCGGUUCUUUAAGUUUGGGGUGAAAUCUCCCGGCUCAACUGGGAGGGUGCGCCGAAUACUGAGGGACUAGAGUACGGGAGAGGAAAGUGGAAUUCCUGGCGUAGCGGUGAAAUGCGUAGAUAUCAGGAGGAACACCGGUGGUGUAGACGGCUUUCUGGACCGUAACUGACGCUGAAACACGAAAGCGUGGGGAGCAAACAGG